UAAAAGUCUACACUUUAGUAACCCUAAUUUUAUUAAGAGAAAAUUACACCAAAUCACCCAAAAACUGAAAAAUUUACGUUAGUGACUCAGGAUAUUUUUUUAAGCAAAAAUCUCUCCUUUUUAAGAGUCUGUUUGCAUGUAUACCCCAUUUUAAUUUUAAUUCUAUUUUACCCUUCCUUCCUCUUCUCCCACAUCCACAGAUCAGAAUCUUGGGAUUAUUGAGUUUUUUCUCCAUCGGUGCUUUUGCACUUCUCUCCAUUGGUCGGACCACCGGCAGUCGAAGGAUGCAGAGAUUAAGUAAGCGGAUUUAGAAGGAGCUGGGAGGAAUGUGGUCGAAAUUGGAUGAGAUUUGGUUUCCAUAAAUCAAGAAUUGAAUGAAGAAAAAAACAAUUGCUAGGAGUGAAGAUCCAUUUGCUGUUGAUUAUUAAAUGAUUUAAAAUUUCUUGUUUAUUGGUAGAGAGAUUUGAAAAUAAUUACAAUAGAUUUAAAGAUUUGUAUUCA